GUCUAGAGGCCUAGGACACCGCCCUUUCACGGCGGCGACACGGGUUCGAAUCCCGN
rnacentral:tRNA from 1 species